rnacentral:rRNA from 1 species
GACGAACGCUGGCGGCGUGCUUAACACAUGCAAGUCGAACGGAAAGGCCCUGCUUUUGUGGGGUUCUCGAGUGGCGAACGGGUGAGUAACACGUGAGUAACCUGCCCUUGACUUUGGGAUAACUUCAGGAAACUGGGGCUAAUACCGGAUAGGAGCUCCUGCUGCAUGGUGGGGGUUGGAAAGUUUCGGCGGUUGGGGAUGGACUCGCGGCUUAUCAGCUUGUUGGUGGGGUAGUGGCUUACCAAGGCUUUGACGGGUAGCCGGCCUGAGAGGGUGACCGGCCACAUUGGGACUGAGAUACGGACCAGACUCCUACGGGAGGCAGCAGUGGGGAAUAUUGCACAAUGGGCGGAAGCCUGAUGCAGAAACGCCGCGUGCGGGAUGACGGCCUUCGUGUUGUAAACCGCUUUCGACUGUGACGAAGCGUGAGUGACGGUAAUGGGUAAAGAAGCACCGGCUAACUACGUG